rnacentral:misc_RNA from 1 species
UGAUUUUCAUUCGAAAAUUUUGGUUAUCAGACAAUGUUUUGACAACAGGUUUUUGGUUGGGUGCUAGCGGCAGGCUGACAGGCGGUCAGGCCCAGCUGCCGAAGCGAAAAGGUUUUUUGGUUCACAAAGGGUUGACCAGUCAGCGGCCCAGGGGGCCACCGAGCAGGCAGUAAGAAACGAUUUCUCGCUCUUUUGGUAAUGAUCCUUCCGUAGGUUAACCUACGGAACUGUAGAUCUAUUACUCUAAUAAAUCUGGCUAUGGUUGUAGCUGGCUCUUAGGGGCAUGUGCACACCUGUCACCUUUAUUCUUUCCACCUGUGAACCCUUUGUAGUCCCAGGAUAACCUCUCGCACACUUUGGUGUUGCGGAUGCGAAGGUUGUUGUGCCUCUGGCCAGCUUCCAUCGAAUUUCCUGGGUCUAUGUUUCUUACACGCCCCUGUAUGUUAAAAAGAAUGUUGAUUUCAAAGGCUUUGGCCUAUAGAAACUCAAUACAACUUUCAGCAACGGAUCUCUUGGCUCUCGCAUCGAUGAAGAACGCAGCGAAAUGCGAUAAGUAAUGUGAAUUGCAGAAUUCAGUGAAUCAUCGAAUCUUGAACGCACCUUGCGCUCCUUGGUAUUCCGAGGAGCAUGCCUGUUUGAGUGUCAUUAAACUCUCAACCUCACCUGGUUUUCUAACCUGUGUGCUGGCUUGGACUUGGGAGUUGUGCAGGCUGCAGUUUACUGUGGUUCUGCUCUCCUUAAAUGUAUUAGCAGGUCUUUACCUCUAUCCCAAUAGUGUGAUAAUCUAUCUACGCUGCCGGUUUGAAGGGUCUCCAAACCGGCAGCGUAGAUAGAUUAUCACACUAUUGGGAUAGAGGUAAAAGACCUGCUAAUACAUUUAAGGAGAGCAGAACCACAGUAAACUGCAGCCUGCACAACUCCCAAGUCCAAGCCAGCACACAGGUUAGAAAACGCAGGUGAGGUUGAGAGUUUAAUGACACUCAAACAGGCAUGCUCCUCGGAAUACCAAGGAGCGCAAGGUGCGUUCAAAGAUUCGAUGAUUCACUGAAUUCUGCAAUUCACAUUACUUAUCGCAUUUCGCUGCGUUCUUCAUCGAUGCGAGAGCCAAUAGAUCCGUUGCUGAAAGUUGUAUUGAGUUUCUAUAGGCCAAAGCCUUUGAAAUCAACAUUCUUUUUAACAUACAGGGGCGUGUAAGAACAUAGACCCAGGAAAUUCGAUGGAAGCUGGCCAGAGGCACAACAACCUUCGCAUCCGCAACACCAAGUGUGCGAGAGGUUAUCCUGGGACUACAAAGGGGUUCACAGGUGGAAAGAUAAAGGUGACAGGUGUGCACAUGCCCCUAAGAGCCAGCUACAACCAUGCCAGAUUUAUUCGA